GCAGGCUGCAACUCGCCUGCAUGAAGUUGGAAUUGCUAGUAAUCGCGAAUCAGAAUGUCGCGGUGAAUAGUUCCCGGGCCUUGUACACACCGCCCGUCACACCAUGAGAGUCGAUAACACCCGAAGCCUGUGAGCUAACCGCAAGGAGGCAGCAGUCGAAGGUGGGGUUGAUGAUUGGGGUGAAGUCGUAACAAGGUACC
rnacentral:rRNA from 1 species